rnacentral:rRNA from 1 species
GCAGGGGGGCAUGCUUACACAUGCAAGUCGAACGAUGAUGCCCAGCUUGCUGGGCGGAUUAGUGGCGAACGGGUGAGUAAUACGUGAGUAACCUGCCCUUGACUCUGGGAUAAGCCUGGGAAACUGGGUCUAAUACUGGAUACUACCUCUUGCCGCAUGGUGGGUGGUGGAAAGGGUUUUACUGGUUUUGGAUGGGCUCACGGCCUAUCAGCUUGUUGGUGGGGUAAUGGCUCACCAAGGCGACGACGGGUAGCCGGCCUGAGAGGGUGACCGGCCACACUGGGACUGAGACACGGCCCAGACUCCUACGGGAGGCAGCAGUGGGGAAUAUUGCACAAUGGGCGGAAGCCUGAUGCAGCGACGCCGCGUGAGGGAUGACGGCCUUCGGGUUGUAAACCUCUUUCAGUAGGGAAGAAGCGAGAGUGACGGUACCUGCAGAAGAAGCGCCGGCUAACUACGUGCCAGCAGCCGCGGUAAUACGUAGGGCGCAAGCGUUGUCCGGAAUUAUUGGGCGUAAAGAGCUCGUAGGCGGUUUGUCGCGUCUGCUGUGAAAGCCCGGGGCUCAACCCCGGGUCUGCAGUGGGUACGGGCAGACUAGAGUGCAGUAGGGGAGACUGGAAUUCCUGGUGUAGCGGUGAAAUGCGCAGAUAUCAGGAGGAACACCGAUGGCGAAGGCAGGUCUCUGGGCUGUUACUGACGCUGAGGAGCGAAAGCAUGGGGAGCGAACAGGAUUAGAUACCCUGGUAGUCCAUGCCGUAAACGUUGGGCACUAGGUGUGGGGGACAUUCCACGUUUUCCGCGCCGUAGCUAACGCAUUAAGUGCCCCGCCUGGGGAGUACGGCCGCAAGGCUAAAACUCAAAGGAAUUGACGGGGGCCCGCACAAGCGGCGGAGCAUGCGGAUUAAUUCGAUGCAACGCGAAGAACCUUACCAAGGCUUGACAUUCACCGGACCGCCCCAGAGAUGGGGUUUCCCUUCGGGGCUGGUGGACAGGUGGUGCAUGGUUGUCGUCAGCUCGUGUCGUGAGAUGUUGGGUUAAGUCCCGCAACGAGCGCAACCCUCGUUCUAUGUUGCCAGCACGUGAUGGUGGGGACUCAUAGGAGACUGCCGGGGUCAACUCGGAGGAAGGUGGGGAUGACGUCAAAUCAUCAUGCCCCUUAUGUCUUGGGCUUCACGCAUGCUACAAUGGCCGGUACAAAGGGUUGCGAUACUGUGAGGUGGAGCUAAUCCCAAAAAGCCGGUCUCAGUUCGGAUUGAGGUCUGCAACUCGACCUCAUGAAGUCGGAGUCGCUAGUAAUCGCAGAUCAGCAACGCUGCGGUGAAUACGUUCCCGGGCCUUGUACACACCGCCCGUCAAGUCACGAAAGUUGGUAACACCCGAAGCCGGUGGCCUAACCCCUUGUGGGAGGGAGCCGUCGAAGGUGCACGGCGC